AGACUCAUGGUUCCCGCACUCAAUGCAGCAGAUGUCCUACUUAUUUUCAAGUUAUGUGUGCUGCAAGAGCAGGACACAGCAUGGAAUUACACUGCCUGGAGAAGAGCGGGAGUCAAAUAACAAAGAAGUUGAUAUAUUGCGCCGAUCAUAGAAGGUUCGACAGCCAAGAGGUUGAUUAUAACUAUGUCAUGGUCAUUAACAAGUACGUUUGCUCCU